UACAGAGGUCCCAAGCGUUGUUCGGAUUCAUUGGGCGUAAAGGGUGCGUAGGCGGCGCGGUAAGUCGGGUGUGAAAUCUCGGAGCUUAACUCCGAAACUGCAUUCGAUACUGCCGUGCUUGAGGACUGGAGAGGAGACUGGAAUUUACGGUGUAGCGGUGAAAUGCGUAGAUAUCGUAAGGAAGACCAGUGGCGAAGGCGGGUCUCUGGACAGUUCCUGACGCUGAGGCACGAAGGCAGGGGAGCAAACGGGAUUAGAGUACCCCGAGU
rnacentral:rRNA from 1 species